rnacentral:rRNA from 1 species
GACGAACGCUGGCGGCGUGCUUAACACAUGCAAGUCGAACGAUGAAGAAAAGAAUCGAAGCUUCGGCAGAAAUUCAUUUCGGAUUAGUGGCAGACGGGUGAGUAACGCGUGAGCAACCUACCUCUUACAAAGGGAUAGCCUCGGGAAACCGGGAUUAAUACCAUAUAACAUUGUGACGAAGCAUUUCGAUGCAAUCAAAGCUACGGCGGUAAGAGAUGGGCUCGCGUCCCAUUAACCGGAUGGUGAGGUAACGGCUCACCAUAGUGACGAUGGGUAACCGGCCUGAGAGGGUGAACGGUCACACUGGAACUGAGACACGGUCCAGACUCCUACGGGAGGCAGCAGUGGGGAAUAUUGCACAAUGGAGGGAACUCUGAUGCAGCGACGCCGCGUGAGUGAUGAAGGAAUUUGUUUCGUAAAACUCUGUUCUAUGGGAAGAAAAGGACUGUACCAUAGGAGAAAGCUCCGGCUAAAUACGUG